rnacentral:miRNA from 1 species
AUGAUCUGCCAUUAUCCUUGA